UUGAACCUCCCUCGUUCACGUGGUAUUGAUGGAAAACCUCUGCCGUUCGCACGAACGGUCAGCAACGCAGUCCAUAGGGGUCCACAGCAGCUUAAGUCACCGAAAUUGACCUUGCAGGCCUUUCAGUUUGGUCAGUUCCUCGACCACGACAUAAUAUUAACCCCACUGAGCAAUGCUGUCGACGAUUGCUGUGCCGAAAAUGACGAUCUAGACAAUUGUUUCAACAUCAACUUCGCUGAAGAUGAUCCUUUUGUGCCACG